ACCAGACUCCUACGGGAGGCAGCAGUGGGGAAUAUUGCACAAUGGGGGAAACCCUGAUGCAGCGACGCCGCGUGAGUGAAGAAGUAUUUCGGUAUGUAAAGCUCUAUCAGCAGGAACGAGACAAGACGGUACCUGACUAAGAAGCCCCGGCUAACUACGUGCCAGCAGCCGCGGUAAUACGUAGGGGGCAAGCGUUAUCCGGAAUCACUGGGUGUAAAGGGAGCGUAGACGGCUGUGCAAGCCUGAAGUGAAAGGCGGGGGCCCAACCCCUGGACUGCUUUGGGAACUGUACGGCUGGAGUGCAGGAGAGGUAAGUGGAAUUCCUAGUGUAGCGGUGAAAUGCGUAGAUAUUAGGAGGAACACCAGUGGCGAAGGCGGCUUACUGGACUGUAACUGACGUUGAGGCUCGAAAGCGUGGGGAGCAAACAGGAUUAGAUACCAGAGUA
rnacentral:rRNA from 1 species